rnacentral:rRNA from 1 species
GAUGAACGCUGGCGGCGUGCCUAAUACAUGCAAGUCGAGCGAAUGGAUUAAGAGCUUGCUCUUAUGAAGUUAGCGGCGGACGGGUGAGUAACACGUGGGUAACCUGCCCAUAAGACUGGGAUAACAGCGGGAAACCGGGGCUAAUACCGGAUAACAUUUUGAACCGCAUGGUUCGAUAUUGAUAGGCGGCUUCGGCUGUCACUUAUGGAUGGACCCGCGUCGCAUUAGCUAGUUGGUGAGGUAACGGCUCACCAAGGCAACGAUGCGUAGCCGACCUGAGAGGGUGAUCGGCCACACUGGGACUGAGACACGGCCCAGACUCCUACGGGAGGCAGAAGUAGGGAAUCUUCCGCGAUGGACGAAAGUCUGACGGAGCAACGCCGCGUGGGUGAUGAAGGCUUUCGGGUCGUAAAACUCUGUUGUUAGGGAAGAACAAGUGCUAGUUGAAUAAGCUGGCACCUUGACGGUACCUAACCAGAAAGCCACGGCUAACUACGUGCCAGCCGCCGCGGUAA